rnacentral:sRNA from 1 species
GCAAUGUGUUUAUUUUGAG